CCUACGGGGGGCAGCAGUGAGGAAUAUUGGUCAAUGGACGAGAGUCUGAACCAGCCAAGUAGCGUGAAGGAUGACUGCCCUAUGGGUUGUAAACUUCUUUUAUAUAGGAAUAAAACGUUGCACGUGUGCCAUUUUGUAUGUACCUUAUGAAUAAGGAUCGGCUAACUCCGUGCCAGCAGUCGCGGUAAUACGGAGGAUCCGAGCGUUAUCCGGAUUUAUUGGGUUUAAAGGGAGCGUAGGUGGAUUGUUAAGUCAGUUGUGAAAGUUUGCGGCUCAACCGUAAAAUUGCAAUUGAAACUGGCAGUCUUGAGUACAGUUGAGGUGGGCGGAAUUCGUGGUGUAGCGGUGAAAUGCUUAGAUAUCACGAAGAACCCCGAUUGCGAAGGCAGCUUACUAAACUGUGACUGACAUUGAGGCUCGAAAGUGUGGGUAUCAAACAGGAUUAGAUACCCCUGUAGUC
rnacentral:rRNA from 1 species